GACGAACGCUGGCGGCGUGCUUAACACAUGCAAGUCGAACGGAAAGGCCCUGCUUUUGUGGGGUGCUCGAGUGGCGAACGGGUGAGUAACACGUGAGUAACCUGCCCUUGACUUUGGGAUAACUUCAGGAAACUGGGGCUAAUACCGGAUAGGAGCUCCUGCUGCAUGGUGGGGGUUGGAAAGUUUCGGCGGUUGGGGAUGGACUCGCGGCUUAUCAGCUUGUUGGUGGGGUAGUGGCUUACCAAGGCUUUGACAGGUAGCCGGCCUGAGAGGGUGACCGGCCACAUUGGGACUGAGAUACGGCCCAGACUCCUACGGGAAGCAGCAGUGGGGAAUAUUGCACAAUGGGCGGAAGCCUGAUGCAGCAACGCCGCGUGCGGGAUGACGGCCUUCGGGUUGUAAACCGCUUUCGCCUGUGACGAAGCGUGAGUGACGGUAAUGGGUAAAGAAGCACCGGCUAACUACGUG
rnacentral:rRNA from 1 species